rnacentral:rRNA from 1 species
AUGAACGCUGGCGGCGUGCUUAACACAUGCAAGUCGAACGGAAAGGCCCAAGCUUGCUUGGGUACUCGAGUGGCGAACGGGUGAGUAACACGUGGGUGAUCUGCCCUGCACUUCGGGAUAAGCCUGGGAAACUGGGUCUAAUACCGGAUAGGACGAUGGUUUGGAUGCCAUUGUGGAAAGUUUUUUCGGUGUGGGAUGAGCUCGCGGCCUAUCAGCUUGUUGGUGGGGUAAUGGCCUACCAAGGCGUCGACGGGUAGCCGGCCUGAGAGGGUGUACGGCCACAUUGGAACUGAGAUACGGCCCAGACUCCUACGGGAGGCAGCAGUGGGGAAUAUUGCACAAUGGGCGCAAGCCUGAUGCAGCGACGCCGCGUGGGGGAUGACGGCCUUCGGGUUGUAAACUCCUUUCGCUAGGGACGAAGCGUUUUUGUGACGGUACCUGGAGAAGAAGCACCGGCUAACUACGUG